rnacentral:rRNA from 1 species
AACGAACGCUGGCGGCAUGCCUAACACAUGCAAGUCGAACGAGACCUUCGGGUCUAGUGGCGCACGGGUGCGUAACGCGUGGGAACCUGCCCUUAGGUUCGGAAUAACUCCCCGAAAGGGGUGCUAAUACCGGAUAAUGUCUUCGGACCAAAGAUUUAUCGCCUUUGGAUGGGCCCGCGUUGGAUUAGCUAGUUGGUAGGGUAAAAGCCUACCAAGGCGACGAUCCAUAGCUGGUCUGAGAGGAUGAUCAGCCACACUGGGACUGAGACACGGCCCAGACUCCUGCGGGAGGCAGCAGUGGGGAAUAUUGGACACUGGGCGAAAGCCUGAUCAAGCAAUGCCGCGUGAGUGAUGAAGGCCUUAGGGUUGUAAAGCUCUUUUACCCGGGAUGAUAAUGACAGUACCGGGAGAAUAAGCUCCGGCUAACUCCGUG